rnacentral:lncRNA from 1 species
AGCUACUUCGGACUGGCCACCAACCUCAUCAUAUACCUCACCAAGGUACUGCACGAGGAGGUGAAGACGGCGGCCAAGAACGUCAACUACUGGAGCGGCGUCACCACCAUGAUGCCCCUCGUCGGCGGCUUCGUCGCCGACGCCUACCUGGGGAGGUUCUCCACCGUUGUCAUCUCCUCCCUCAUCUAUAUCGCGGUAAAUUGCUCGCCCAAUUGGCUCUGCUUGUCGUGUACCGAACCCAAUCCCCCCCCCCUCACGACCGAAGACUGCCAGCCGACCCGCCUACCUGGGGAGGUUCUCCCCCGUUGUCAUCUCCUCCCUCAUCUAUAUCGCGGUAAAUUGCUCGCCCAAUUGACUCUGCUUGUCGUUUACCGAACCCAACGCCCCCUCACGACCGAAGACUGCCAAAGAAUCGUUGCUUAUCUCCAUGUCACAAAGAAUCGAUCCAAACGUGCUGUGCAGGACAAAUUCCAUAAAUCCACCAAUGAAAGGCAUAAGGUGACAUCAGCCGCCAAAGCCGUACAAGUAUUAGAUCCCACAGUAAUCUAAUCAUCUUUGUUUUCGUAGGUGUAAGAUGCUAAAAAAAUCUAUCCCAAAAAUGAUGGAUAUUACAGAAUCAUAGAUGACUGAUCUUAGAAAAAAAAUAUUUCUAAAUUAAACAUAAUAAUUCAUAAUCUCUGAGCAUCGUAUGGUUCUUUUCAUUUCUCCGUAC